rnacentral:rRNA from 1 species
GCGUAUGCAACCUGCCUGUAACAGGGGAAUAGCCUCUUGAAAGAGAGAUUAAUGCCGCAUAAUACGAUAUUCGGGCAUCCGGGUAUUUUUAACAUUUAUGGGUUACAGAUGGGCAUGCGUUUCAUUAGGUAGUUGGUGAGGUAACGGCUCACCAAGCCGACGAUGAAUAGGGGUUCUGAGAGGAAGGUCCCCCACACUGGUACUGAGACACGGACCAGACUCCUACGGGAGGCAGCAGUGAGGAAUAUUGGUCAAUGGACGCAAGUCUGAACCAGCCAAGUCGCGUGAAGGAUGAAGGUAUUAUGUAUUGUAAACUUCUUUUGUCAGGGAAUAAUGGGUGUCACGUGUGACGCAGAGGAAUGUACCUGACGAAUAAGCAUCGGCUAACUCCGUGCCAGCAGCCGCGGUAAUACGGAGGAUGCGAGCGUUAUCCGGAUUUAUUGGGUUUAAAGGGUGCGUAGGCGGUUUGUUAAGUCAGUGGUGAAAGUUUGCGGCUCAACCGUAAAAUUGCCAUUGAAACUGGCGAACUUGAGUACAGUAGAGGUAGGCGGAAUUCGUGGUGUAGCGGUGAAUGCUUAGAUAUCACGAAGAACUCCGAUUGCGAA